GUCUUUUUGAAUAUAUUUAAAGUCUAGCCUGCCCAAUGAAAUUUAAAUGGCCGCAGUAUAUUGACUGUGCAAAGGUAGCAUAAUCAUUAGUAUCUUAAUUAGAUGCUGGAAUGAAAGGUUGAACGAAAGAAUUACUGUCUCAUUUUUAAUAUAUUAGAAUUUUAUUUUUAAGUAAAAAAGCUUAAAUUUAUUUAAAAGACGAGAAGACCCUAUAGAGUUUAAUAUAGAAUAGUUUUAAUUAAUAAGUAUUUUUGAAAUUUUAUAUAUUUAAUUGGGGUAGUGGAAAAAUUUAAUUAAUUUAUUUUUAUUUUUUACAAUAAUUUUUGAGUAAUUGAUCCAUAAAUAAUGAUUAUAAGAUUAAAUUACCUUAGGGAUAACAGCGUUAUUUUUUUAGAGAGUUCAAAUUGAUAAAUAAGAUUGCGACCUCGAUGUUGGAUUAAAUUUUAUUUUUGGUGUAGGAGCUAAAAAUAUUGGUCUGUUCGACCAUUAAAAAUUUACA
rnacentral:rRNA from 1 species